rnacentral:rRNA from 1 species
UACGUAGGGUGCGAGCGUUGUCCGGAAUUAUUGGGCGUAAAGAGCUCGUAGGCGGCCUGUCGCGUCGGAUGUGAAAGCCCGGGGCUUAACCCCGGUCGUGCAUUCGAUACGGGCAGGCUAGAGUGUGGUAGGGAGGAGUCGGAAUUCCGAUUCGGUGGUAGCGGUGGAAAAUGCGCAGAUAUCAGGAGGAACACCGGUGGCGAAGGCGGAUCUCUGGGCCAUUACUGACGCUGAGGAGCGAAAGCGUGGGGAGCGAACAGG